AGAGUUUGAUCAUGGCUCAGGAUGAACGCUAGCGGCAGGCUUAAUACAUGCAAGUCGUGGGGCAGCGCGUUAUAGCAAUAUGAUGGCGGCGACCGGCAAACGGGUGCGUAACACGUACGCAACCUUCCUUCAGGCGGGGAAUAGCCCAGAGAAAUUUGGAUUAAUACCCCAUAAUAUUUUGAGAUGGCAUCAUCUUAUUAUUAAAGCUUCGGCACCUGAUGAUGGGCGUGCGGCUGAUUAGGUAGUUGGCGGGGUAACGGCCCACCAAGCCUUCGAUCAGUAGCUGAUGUGAGAGCAUGAUCAGCCACACGGGCACUGAGACACGGGCCCGACUCCUACGGGAGGCAGCAGUAAGGAAUAUUGGUCAAUGGACGAAAGUCUGAACCAGCCAUGCCGCGUGGAGGAUGAAGGUCCUCUGGAUUGUAAACUUCUUUUAUUUGGGACGAAAAAAGGGAAUUCUUUCCCACUUGACGGUACCAGAUGAAUAAGCACCGGCUAACUCCGUGCCAGCAGCCGCGGUAAUACGGAGGGUGCAAGCGUUAUCCGGAUUCACUGGGUUUAAAGGGUGCGUAGGCGGAUGUGUAAGUCAGCGGUGAAAUCCCCGAGCUUAACUUGGGAACUGCCGUUGAUACUAUAUAUCUUGAAUGUCGUGGAGGUUAGCGGAAUAUGUCAUGUAGCGGUGAAAUGCUUAGAUAUGACAUAGAACACCCAUUGCGAAGGCAGCUAACUACGCGAAUAUUGACGCUGAGGCACGAAAGCGUGGGGAUCAAACAGGAUUAGAUACCCUGGUAGUCCACGCCCUAAACGAUGAUUACUCGACAUUGGCGAUACACUGUCAGUGUCUGAGCGAAAGCAUUAAGUAAUCCACCUGGGAAGUACGACCGCAAGGUUGAAACUCAAAGGAA
rnacentral:rRNA from 1 species